rnacentral:misc_RNA from 1 species
UCUGCAUAUGAACUAUUUUUUUAGUUUCCUGAAAACGUUUACUAAUAAAGCUGUUUUUUCAACAAGCAGCAUGGCAAUUGCUAAGGACAGUUGUGACCAAAUGCUGUGAAAGCUACAAUUCUCAUAGAUAUUUGAAAUGUGGUAGAUAAAGGCAGCGUAGCAUGGUAAGCUUCAUGAACAGACAAAUAGACGCAGACGUGCAAGUAGGAGAGCAUCCUGAAGGCAAGCAACAAGCUGAAAACCACAAAAGGAGCCUUCUGGUAUACUUUGCUAUCCAUACUUUUUGGUAUUAAUCUAAAUAUACCCAUAUGGAGGUGGUACUAGAACAUAACAAUGCUUUCGUUUAAUCCUUAUAUCU